rnacentral:rRNA from 1 species
AGUAGCGGCGAGUGAAGCGGCAAAAGCUCAAAUUUGAAAUCUGGCGUCUUUGGCGUCCGAGUUGUAAUUUGAAGAAGGUAUCUUUGGGCCCGGCUCUUGUCUAUGUUCCUUGGAACAGGACGUCACAGAGGGUGAGAAUCCCGUGCGAUGAGAUGACCCGGGUCUGUGUAAAGUUCCUUCGACGAGUCGAGUUGUUUGGGAAUGCAGCUCUAAGUGGGUGGUAAAUUCCAUCUAAAGCUAAAUAUUGGCGAGAGACCGAUAGCGAACAAGUACAGUGAUGGAAAGAUGAAAAGAACUUUGAAAAGAGAGUGAAAAAGUACGUGAAAUUGUUGAAAGGGAAGGGCUUGAGAUCAGACUUGGUAUUUUGCAUGUUGCUCUCUCGGGGGCGGCCGCUGCGGUUUACCGGGCCAGCAUCGGUUUGGAGCGGCAGGAUAAUGGCGGAGGAAUGUGGCACGGCUUCUGCUGUGUGUUAUAGCCUCUGACGAUACUGCCAGCCUAGACCGAGGACUGCGGUUUUUACCUAGGAUGUUGGCAUAAUGAUCUUAAGUCGCCCGUCUUGAAACACGGACCAAGGAGUCUAACGUCUAUGCGAGUGUUUGGGUGUAAAACCCGUACGCGUAAUGAAAGUGAACGAAGGUGGGGGCCCAUUAGGGUGCACCAUCGACCGAUCCUGAUGUGUUCGGAUGGAUUUGAGUAAGAGCAUAGCUGUUGGGACCCGAAAGAUGGUGAACUAUGCCUGAAUAGGGUGAAGCCAGAGGAAACUCUGGUGGAGGCUCGUAGCGGUUCUGACGUGCAAAUCGAUCGUCGAAUUUGGGUAUA